rnacentral:rRNA from 1 species
AGGGCGCAUGGCGGAUGCCUUGGCUCUCGGAGGCGAUGAAGGACGUGAUAAGCUGCGAUAAGCUUUGGGGAGGUGCAAAUAACCUUUGAUCCGAAGAUUUCCGAAUGGGACAACCCAAUACCUUGAAGAGGUAUUAUCCUACGAAGUAGGAAGCUAACGCAGGGAACUGAAACAUCUUAGUACCUGCAGGAAAAGAAAAUAAACAAUGAUUCCCCCAGUAGUGGCGAGCGAACGGGGAAUAGCCCAAACCAUUCAUGUUACGGCAUGAAUGGGGUUGUAGGACCACGAUAUUGCAUGAAAGCAACAGAGAGGAAUGUUCUGGAAAGUCCAACCAUAGAGCAUGAAAGUUGCGUACUCGAAUGUUGUCGAAGCAUAGUGGUAUCCUGAGUAGCGCGGAGCACGAGGAAUUCUGCGUGAAUCUGCCGGGACCAUCCGGUAAGGCUAAAUACUCCCGAGAGACCGAUAGUGAACCAGUACUGUGAAGGAAAGGUGAAAAGCACUUCGAACAGAAGAGUGAAAUAGUUCCUGAAACCGUGCGCCUACAAGCGGUCGGAGCAGUGUAAGCUGUGACGGCGUGCCUUUUGCAUAAUGAACCUACGAGUUACCGUUGCCGGCAAGGUUAAGUGUGAUGACACAUGCAGCCGAAGCGAAAGCGAGUCUGAAGAGGGCGUAUAGUCGGUAGUGGUAGACGCGAAACCAAGUGAUCUACCCUUGAGCAGGUUGAAGUCUGGGUAACACCAGAUGGAGGACCGAACCAAUAAGCGUUGAAAAGCUUCUGGAUGACUUGAGGGUAGGGGUGAAAGGCUAAUCAAACUUGGAGAUAGCUCGUACUCCCCGAAAUGCAUUUAGGUGCAGCCUUGGAACUUACUAAUGUGAGGUAGAGCGACUGAUAAGAUGCGAGGGCUUCACCGCCUAUCAAGUCUUGACAAACUCCGAAUGCGCAUUAGUUCCAUUCCAGGAGUGAGGGCAUGGGUGCUAAGGUCCGUGCCCGAGAGGAGAAGAAUCCGGACCACCUGCUAAGGUCCCGAAAUGACAGCUAAGUUAAACUAACGAAGUCAGAUUGCUAAGACAGCUAGGAUGUUGGCUUGGAAGCAGCCAUUCAUUUAAAGAGUGCGUAACAGCUCACUAGUCGAGGAGUCGGGCGUGGAUAAUAAUCGGGUAUCAAGUUGUCUACCGAAGCAGUGGGAUCAUUAAUAUGAUCGGUAGGGGAGCAUUCCAGUCAGCGUCGAAGGCGUACCGUGAGGUAUUCUGGAGCGUCUGGAAAAGCAAAUGUAGGUAUAAGUAACGAUAAAGGGGGCGGGAAACCCCCUCGCCGAAAGACUAAGGUUUCCUGAUCAACGCUAAUCGGAUCAGGGUCAGUCGGGUCCUAAGGCUCAGCCGAACGGCGAUGCCGAUGGCAGAAACGGUUAAUAUUCCGUUACUACCUUCAGGAGUGACGUGGAGACGCAGUAGUGACAGUGCCGCCAUCUGACGGAAUAGAUGGUUGAAGGGUGUAGGAGUCGAUCAUGGCAGGCAAAUCCACCAUGAGAUCCGAACCUGACAGUAUGCCGCGUCCUUCGGGACAAGGCAAUAGUGCGCGUAAGCAUGCUGCCGAGAAAAUCCGCUAAACUUAAUCCUGCAGGUACCCGUACCGCAAACGGACACACGUAGUCGGGAUGAAUAUUCUAAGGCGCUUGAGUGAUUCACGGUUAAGGAACUAGGCAAACUGACCCUGUAACUUCGGGAUAAAGGGUCCCUACCCUUUUAUGGGAGGGCGCAGAGAAUCGGUCCAGGCAACUGUUUAACAAAAACACAGGGCUGUGCCAAAUCGAAAGAUCCAGUAUACAGCCUGACACCUGCCCGGUGCUGGAAGGUUAAGAGGAGAUGUCAUCGAUAAGAGAAGCGUUGAAUUGAAGCCCCAGUAAACGGCGGCCGUAACUAUAACGGUCCUAAGGUAGCGAAAUUCCUUGUCGGGUAAGUUCCGACCUGCACGAAUGGUGUAAUGAUCUGGACACUGUCUCAACCGUGAGCUCAGUGAAAUUGUAGUAUCGGUGAAGAUGCCGAUUACCCGCGAUGGGACGAAAAGACCCCGUGAACCUUUACUAUAGCUUAUCAUUGAAUUUGGGCACGUGAUGUGUAGGAUAGGUCGGAGGCUUUGAAGCAGGUACGCCAGUAUUUGUGGAGCCGCUGUUGAAAUACGACCCUUUAUUUGUUUGGAUUCUAACCCGUGGAUACGGGGACAUUGAUUGGUGGGUAGUUUGACUGGGGUGGUCGCCUCCAAAAGCGUAACGGAGGCUUCUAAAGGUGCCCUCCGGCCGAUUGGUAACCGGCCUUAGAGUGUAAUGGCAUAAGGGCGCUUGACUGGGAGACUAACAAGUCGAUCAGGUAGGAAACUAGAGCAUAGUGAUCCGGUGUUUCCGUAUGGAAGGGACAUCGC